AUUGGUGAACCUAUGAUCAUUCUCUUAACUCAUGCUAGAGUCAAAGAAGGACAAUGUGACAUUGUUUAUACAAUUUAAUGUUUUUUUGAAAAACAAAAUAUGUUAAAAUUUAUUUAGAUUUAUGAUAUGUUCAUGGGUUUUGCUAGGUAAGUACCCACCCACUGUUUCUAACUCAUGGUCUGGAUCAAAGAUUUUGAUUGAUGAAGAAAUAACCGACAUUCAGAAGUACAAGGAGAGGUAUGAUGACAUUGCUUUAUCUAUGAGUAUUUACCUUGCUUUUUUAUUAUAAAUACUGAUUUUUAACUUACAAUAAUUGAAUGUGUAUUAUUUUGGACAGUUUUUCAACUAUGUCUCUAUCCUGUGACACAUUGAGCCAUGGUAACAGUCAACUCUCACAAUAUUCUUAUUUAU
rnacentral:lncRNA from 1 species